rnacentral:rRNA from 1 species
GAUGAACGCUGGCGGCGUGCUUAACACAUGCAAGUCGAACGGAAAGGCCGAAGCUUGCUUCGGUCCUCGAGUGGCGAACGGGUGAGUAACACGUGGGUGAUCUGCCCUGUACUUCGGGAUAAGCUUGGGAAACUGGGUCUAAUACCGGAUAUGACAAUCUCUUGGAUGGGGUUGUGGAAAGCUUUUGCGGUAUGGGAUGAGCUCGCGGCCUAUCAGCUUGUUGGUGGGGUAAUGGCCUACCAAGGCGUCGACGGGUAGCCGGCCUGAGAGGGUGUACGGCCACAUUGGGACUGAGAUACGGCCCAGACUCCUACGGGAGGCAGCAGUGGGGAAUAUUGCACAAUGGGCGCAAGCCUGAUGCAGCGACGCCGCGUGGGGGAUGACGGCCUUCGGGUUGUAAACUCCUUUCGCAACCGACGAAGCUUUUUGUGACGGUAGGUGGAGAAGAAGCACCGGCUAACUACGUG